rnacentral:siRNA from 1 species
CGGUCAGUUGACUCAGGCUUUGA